rnacentral:rRNA from 1 species
UACGGGGGGAGCAAGCGUUGUUCGGAUUUACUGGGCGUAAAGGGCGCGUAGGCGGUCAGCACAAGUCAGUUGUGAAAUCUCCGGGCUUAACUCGGAAAGGUCAACUGAUACUGUGCGACUAGAGUGCAGAAGGGGCAACUGGAAUUCUCGGUGUAGCGGUGAAAUGCGUAGAUAUCCGGAAGAACACCAGUGGCGAAGGCGGUUAGCUGGGCAGUUGCUGACACUGAUGCGCGACAGCGUGGGGAGCAAACAGG